UGCAGUCGAGCGAGUCUGCCUUGGAGAUCGGAGUGCUUGCACUCUGUGAAACAAGAUACAGGCUAGCGGCGGACGGGUGAGUAACACGUGGGUAACCUGCCUAAGAGAUCGGGAUAACACCUGGAAACAGAUGCUAAUACCGGAUAACAACAGAUGAUGCCUAUCAACUGUUUAAAAGAUGGUUCUGCUAUCACUCUUGGAUGGACCUGCGGUGCAUUAGCUAGUUGGUAGGGUAACGGCCUACCAAGGCGAUGAUGCAUAGCCGAGUUGAGAGACUGAUCGGCCACAUUGGGACUGAGACACGGCCCAAACUCCUACGGGAGGCAGCAGUAGGGAAUCUUCCACAAUGGACGCAAGUCUGAUGGAGCAACGCCGCGUGAGUGAAGAAGGGUUUCGGCUCGUAAAGCUCUGUUGUUGGUGAAGAAGGACAGGGGUAGUAACUGACCUUUGUUUGACGGUAAUCAAUUAGAAAGUCACGGCUAACUACGUGCCAGCAGCCGCGGUAAUACGUAGGUGGCAAGCGUUGUCCGGAUUUAUUGGGCGUAAAGCGAGUGCAGGCGGCUCGAUAAGUCUGAUGUGAAAGCCUUCGGCUCAACCGGAGAAUUGCAUCAGAAACUGUCGAGCUUGAGUACAGAAGAGGAGAGUGGAACUCCAUGUGUAGCGGUGAAAUGCGUAGAUAUAUGGAAGAACACCGGUGGCGAAGGCGGCUCUCUGGUCUGUUACUGACGCUGAGGCUCGAAAGCAUGGGUAGCGAACAGGAUUAGAUACCCUGGUAGUCCAUGCCGUANACGAUGAGUGCUAAGUGUUGGGAGGUUUCCGCCUCUCAGUGCUGCAGCUAACGCAUUAAGCACUCCGCC
rnacentral:rRNA from 1 species